CCUACGGGAGGCAGCAGUGAGGAAUAUUGGUCAAUGGCCGCAAGGCUGAACCAGCCAAGUCGCGUGAGGGAAGACGGUUCUAUGGUUUGUAAACUUCUUUUAUAGGGGAGUAAAGGUAUCCACGCGUGGAUAUUUGCGAGUACCCUAUGAAUAAGCAUCGGCUAACUCCGUGCCAGCAGCCGCGGUAAUACGGAGGAUGCGAGCGUUAUCCGGAUUUAUUGGGUUUAAGUGGUGCGUGGGUGGUAGUUCAAGUCGGGGGUAAAAUUGGGGGGCUCAACCUCUUAGAGCCGGUGAAACUUGUUGUCUUGAGUGAGCGAGAGGUAUGCGGAAUGCGUGGUGUAGCGGUGAAAUGCAUAGAUAUCACGCAGAACUCCGAUUGCGAAGGCAGCAUACCAGCGCUCAACUGACACUCAUGCACGAAAGUGUGGGUAUCGAACAGGAUUAGAUACCCUUGUAGUC
rnacentral:rRNA from 1 species